rnacentral:rRNA from 1 species
UACGGAGGGUGCAAACGUUGCUCGGAAUCAUUGGGCGUAAAGCGCACGUAGGCGGCCCGUUAAGUCGAACGUGAAAUCCCCGGGCUCAACCCGGGAACUGCGUCCGAUACUGGGAGGCUUGAAUCCGGGAGAGGGAUGUGGAAUUCCAGGUGUAGCGGUGAAAUGCGUAGAUAUCAGGAGGAACACCGGUGGCGAAGGCGGGUCUCUGGGCCGAUACUGACGCUGAGGAGCGAAAGCGUGGGGAGCGAACAGG